rnacentral:rRNA from 1 species
ACGGAAGGCAGCAGUGGGGAAUAUUGCACAAUGGGGGAAACCCUGAUGCAGCAACGCCGCGUGAAGGAUGAAGGUCUUUGGAUCGUAAACUUCUGUCCUUGGGGAAGAUAAUGACGGUACCCUUGGAGGAAGCCCCGGCUAACUACGUGCCAGCAGCCGCGGUAAUACGUAGGGGGCAAGCGUUAUCCGGAUUUACUGGGUGUAAAGGGAGCGUAGACGGUAUGGCAAGUCUGAAGUGAAAUGCAUGGGCUCAACCCAUGAACUGCUUUGGAAGCUGUCAAACUAGAGUGCAGGAGAGGUAAGUGGAAUUCCUAGUGUAGCGGUGAAAUGCGUAGAUAUUAGGAGGAACACCAGUGGCGAAGGCGGCUUACUGGACUGUAACUGACGUUGAGGCUCGAAAGCGUGGGGAGCAAACAGGAUUAGAUACCCUGGUA